CCUACGGGUGGCUGCAGUCGAGAAUCAUUCACAAUGGGGGAAACCCUGAUGAGGCGACGCCGCGUGGGGGAAUGAAGGUCUUCGGAUUGUAAACCCCUGUCAUGUGGGAGCAAAUUAAAAAGAUAGUACCACAAGAGGAAGAGACGGCUAACUCUGGGCCAGCAGCCGCGGUAAUACAGAGGUCUCAAGCGUUGUUCGGAAUCACUGGGCGUAAGGCGUGCGUAGGCUGUUUCGUAAGUCGGAUGUGAAAGGCGCGGGCUCAACCCGCGGACGGCACAUGAUACUGCGAGACUAGAGUAAUGGAGGGGGAACCGGAAUUCUCGGUGUAGCAGUGAAAUGCGUAGAUAUCGAGAGGAACACUCGUGGCGAAGGCGGGUUCCUGGACAUUAACUGACGCUGAGGCACGAAGGCCAGGGGAGCGAAAGGGAUUAGAUACCCGUGUAGUC
rnacentral:rRNA from 1 species